rnacentral:rRNA from 1 species
UAGGCGCACAGCUCAGUAGCACGUGGCUAACCUGCCCUUGGGACGGAAGAACCCCCGGGAAACUGGGGCUAAUUUCCGAUAGGUGAUGAUACCUGGAAUGGUUUUUUGCUCAAAGGACGCUUAGGGCAUGCUUCUAGGCGUUGCCAAGGAUGGGGCCGCGGCCGAUCAGGUUGUUGGUGAGGUAACGGCUCACCAAGCCUUUAACCGGUGCGGGCCGUGGGAGCGGAAGCCCGGAGAUGGGCACUGAGACAAGGGCCCAGGCCCUACGGGGCGCAGCAGUCGCGAAAAUUUCGCAAUAAGCGAAAGCUUGACGGAGCUAUCCCGAGUGCCAUCCGCUGAGGAUGGCUUUUCCCUAGUAUAGAUAGCUGGGGGAAUAAGGAGAGGGCAAGUCUGGUGUCAGCCGCCGCGGUAAUACCAGCUCUCCGAGUGGUGGGGAUGAUUAUUGGGCCUAAAGCAUCCGUAGCCGGCUGGGCAAGUCCCCUGUUAAACCCAACGAUUUAAUCGUUGGUCUGCGGGGGAUACUGCUUGGCUAGGGGGCGAGAGAGGCCGUCGGUAUUCCCGGGGUAGGGGUGAAAUCCUAUAAUCCCAGGAGGACCACCAGUGGCGAAGGCUGUCGGCUAGAACGCGCCCGACGGUGAGGGAUGAAAGCUGGGGGAGCGAACCGGAUUAGAUACCCGGGUAGUCCCAGCUGUAAACGAUGCAGGCUAGGUGUUAGGGCGGCUACGUGCCGCUCUAGUGCCGCAGGGAAGCUGCUAAGCCUGCCGCCUGGGGAGUACGGCCGCGAGGCUGACUUAAAGGCCA